GACGAACGCUGGCGGCGUGCCUAAUACAUGCAAGUCGAACGCAGUGGGGACGGGUGAGUAACACGUGGGUAACCUCCCAUCAGAGGGGAUAACACUUGGAAACAGGUGCUAAACCGAUACUGAUGGAUGAACCCGCGGUGCAUUAGCUAGUUGGUGAGGUAACGGCUCAUCAAGGCCAAGAUGCAUAGCCGACCUGGGAGGUUGGUCGGCCACACUGGGACGGAGACACGGCCCAGACUCCUACGGGGGGCAGCAGGAGGGAAUCUUCGGCAAGGGACGAAAGUCGGACCGAGCAACGCCGCGUGAGUGAAGAAGGUUUUCGGAUCGUAAGACUCUGUUGUUAGAGAAGCGGUAUCUAACCAGAAAGCCACGGCUAACUACGUGCCAGCAGCCGCGGUAAUUC
rnacentral:rRNA from 1 species